AGUGAACGCUGGCGGUAGGCCUAACACAUGCAAGUCGAACGGCAGCACAGUAAGAGCUUGCUCUUACGGGUGGCGAGUGGCGGACGGGUGAGGAAUACAUCGGAAUCUACUUUUUCGUGGGGGAUAACGUAGGGAAACUUACGCUAAUACCGCAUACGACCUACGGGUGAAAGCAGGGGAUCUUCGGACCUUGCGCGAUUGAAUGAGCCGAUGUCGGAUUAGCUAGUUGGCGGGGUAAAGGCCCACCAAGGCGACGAUCCGUAGCUGGUCUGAGAGGAUGAUCAGCCACACUGGAACUGAGACACGGUCCAGACUCCUACGGGAGGCAGCAGUGGGGAAUAUUGGACAAUGGGCGCAAGCCUGAUCCAGCCAUGCCGCGUGGGUGAAGAAGGCCUUCGGGUUGUAAAGCCCUUUUGUUGGGAAAGAAAAGCAGCGGGUUAAUACCCCGCUGUUCUGACGGUACCCAAAGAAUAAGCACCGGCUAACUUCGUG
rnacentral:rRNA from 1 species